rnacentral:misc_RNA from 1 species
AAGUCGUAACAAGGUUUCCGUAGGUGAACCUGCGGAAGGAUCAUUAUUAAAACAAAACAUAUUUAUAAUUUAUUUAUUAUUUAUAUGUUGGUAUUAAUAAAUACACACAUUUAGAAAUGUAAUUUUUCUUUUUGAAAUUUAAUUUUUAGCAUUUCUAAAUUAUUUAAAAAAUUAAAUAUCAUUAUCGACUGAUUUUAAAUUUUAAUUUUAAAUAAAGUUGAAAAAAAUAUAUAUAAAACGUUUUUGGUCUUACAAAAGAAAAGUCUUAAAAUAACUUUUAACGAUGGAUCUCUUGGCUCCUA